CGCAGAUUUUCCAUAAAAGAAAGCCUGGUUUUGUCAAGAAAUGUGGAGCAGAGAUCUUGAAUUUGAGUGAAGGCAUCUCCAGGCACUGCUGAGGAACUACUCCGUGCUCACUCCUUGGACCAAGUGCCUCACCAAUUGCUAGCAUCGCUCCAAACUUCUCUGCUUGGUGGUUUGCCAUCUGAGGCCUGAUCCAAGCCAUACAAACUGCGUAAGAAGACCGGGCUGCAGAAGUCCACCAAGAGCCGGCAUUUGUUAUUCAGUGCUAAAUUGGGUGAGUUCUUACCAAAAGCUAGAAACCAACAGUCACGGGGACGUUCCUGAGAGCAAGAUCGUCUGCUCAGCUGAGGCAUUUGCAGAAGUACUUGUACCUCUGAUGGGACACAACUUGCCGCGGCAGUCGCUUCUUUCUGGAGCCUCCUCCUGCCACCCCGCUGGACAAGAAAACAUGAAAAAGAGGAGGCCCAAGUGUGAAACCAGCCUCAAGGCUUCUCUUAUUCCUAAAUGAGAAAGUGGCAGGGAUUUUACAAACCAUUUAUUCAUCUCUCACAGCACUCCUACAGCUGUGGCAGCAAGCAGAGCCUGGGAAGGGUUUUUUGUCAUGCUGCCAUGAGUCACAAGAAAUGUGGGGAGUGCGCAAACAGUGUCAAGAGCAGGGCAGGACCUUCUUCUGAGCCCAGCCCGUGCAGGCAUGUGAAGGAGGAGGAACACGCAUCUGGUGACGCAAGCAAUUGCUUAAUGUGGCGCCCCAGAAAAGCAUCAGCAACUGUAUGGACAGGAACUCGCCAACUGUUCCACCAGACCACGCUGGACUGGCACCUCAGGGAAAAAGAGAAGGAUUCAAGCUGGAUCUGUUUUCCAUAUCCACGGGUCUCCUGGUAGAUGCACGGGAAUAACCAUUCACAACUACCAUAAAGAACAUCAUUUUACUAUGGAUGUUGCAAACCACACAAGUGACUUUUCUAUCCUUACCCUGUUAGGGAAAGGCAUCAGAAUUUUCUGUUUUUCACCAGCAAGUUGAUUUCAAAAUCUCCAAUUACAAAAAUAUAUAAAAAUGUAUUAGCCAACAGAUUUAUGUUUGAAAAAACAGCACUUUAAUUACAGAGAUACUGUAAUUCUCAAUUUUUGAGGAAAUGUGAUUACUGCAAUUUCUUCAUUAGGUUACAGCUUCACUAUUUAAGAAAACAUCAUUUAAAAGGCACCGUGUUAGCUGUUUAUUCCACACUGUUAAAACCCCAGAAAACAUAAGCAAACACUUGAAUACUCUCUUCCUAGCAACCAAGGUCUUUCAUCAGAAAAGCAGCAUAUUUGUGUUUUUUUCUGUACAUUGUAUUAAGCCAAAUUUCUAGUUUGCAACCCUUCGGGCCAUUCAAUAACCGUCAAAUUCCUGGAAUAUAAUUUUAGGUCAAAGUCCAAGCCAGUGACUAAGCCAUCUCUUUGUACGUGGUCCAAAAAAAUGUAAUUGGGCUUUUUUUCAAAAACACCACACGAGUAACAGGAAUGCCCUCCGCUUUAAUGUUACAGGCGAACCAUCUAUCAAGCUACCCAAAAUGGCUUUGGGCCAAAAUUCCAUAUUGGAUACAUCCAAACCCCUAUUUGAAUGCCUGUGUCACCACUACUUACCUGUAACACUAUGGUCACGGGGCCAGAUUUUCAGAAUUCUGUGUAUCCCUUACUUCCACUGAGAAAUAUCAAAAAGUUAAUUUUAGGCACCAAGUGUCUUUACAUUUACUAACCUGCUGCAUGACUUAAUACUUCAAAUUACCAGCAGCAUUUUAUGAAGUGCAGCAUUUCUGCAAUUCCCACUCACCAAGUACAAAAUACGGAUGAUACUGAGUUACUCCCCUGGGAUUUAGCUCUAUCUUUAAAGGCUAGGGUAGCAGUGAUGUUUUUACUGAAGAAAUGUGUUUUUUGGAUCUCUUAAGACCUUUGCAGGAUGCUGGGCAUCAAAAAAAAAAAUAUCCAGAAAAUACUUACAGUAACAGAAUCCUCGCCUUCUCUACAUCCCUUCUUUUCUUACAUAAGGGUAGGUUCUCCUUUCUUUCCUUAUCUGAGGGAGACCUAUGGUCUCCUUGCUAACUCUUUAAGAAAAUCAGAGCAGCAACUGGGAAAUGUGUCUUCCAUGGAAAAGAUGAAAGAUAGCUAAGUGAGAGGAUGUGUCCUUCGCGACACUUACAGUGUGGUCAAAGAGCCAGCGCCGCCCCCGCCUUUUCCCAAAAGAGUUUGCAGACAACUGUCCAGAAAAGUACACGGUCUCCCCACCAGUUCUGCAAACAGCAGGAGAUACUGCAGCGCUCUGGACUGCUGCUGCCCUGUCAUUUCUGAGCCUCCGAGGUCAGCUGAGUGGAUUAAAUUAACACUGUUCCCAGGCAAAGCACGACGUCUGCGAGCAGAAUGGCGUAGCAUAAUAAUGGGAUAGGAGGGGUAGAUACACGCCUAAAUAUUAAAUGGUUGGAAGGAGUGGGGAGCAUUGAUGUGAUUCUGACUUACGUGACCUAGUGCCAAAUGUAGAGUAUCUCACACACCUCUCAGCAGAUUAUAUGUCUGUUCACCACCACUUAACAUUUCCAUAGCUUAUUUCAGUAUUUUUGCAUUUGUUUCACCCUUAAUAAUUUAUUUAUGAGUUUAGGAUUAUUAACAAUUUGAAGCCUCAUUACAAACUAUCCUGGGGGAAUCUCACCUGCCUCGUCCCAUUA